UCAGGCCUAACACAUGCAAGUCGAACGGCAGCACGGGAGCAAUCCUGGUGGCGAGUGGCGAACGGGUGAGUAAUACAUCGGAACGUGCCCAGUCGUGGGGGAUAACUACUCGAAAGAGUGGCUAAUACCGCAUACGACCUGAGGGUGAAAGCGGGGGACCGCAAGGCCUCGCGCGAUUGGAGCGGCCGAUGUCAGAUUAGCUAGUUGGUGGGGUAAAGGCCCACCAAGGCGACGAUCUGUAGCUGGUCUGAGAGGACGACCAGCCACACUGGGACUGAGACACGGCCCAGACUCCUACGGGAGGCAGCAGUGGGGAACUUUGGACAAUGGGGGCAACCCUGAUCCUUUCAAGCCGCGUGCGGGAAGAAGGCCUUCGGGUUGAACCUUAUAGGGUCAGGGAAGAAACGCGCUGAGCUAAUA
rnacentral:rRNA from 1 species